rnacentral:rRNA from 1 species
AUGGCACUACAUACCUUGCAUCUGGCUAGGGGUGGCAAGUUCAAAGGAAAUGACAGGAAGGAUGUUGCUCAAAUUUUUCAAGUUAGUGUUCAACAUAUUCAAAAAAUCUGGACGAUAGCAGAGCGGCAAAAAGCGCUUGGUCAAGAGGUGGAUGUAUCCAGCGGAAGGAAACGAAGAUGCGGGAGGAAAGGAAAGGAUGAUACUCUAUCCCAAAUCCCCACAGUCCCUUUGAAUAGUAGGUCGACUCUCAGGUCACUUGCUCGCCAAUUGGGUGUCAGUCAUACUACACUCGACAAGAAACUCAAGCUU